rnacentral:rRNA from 1 species
CCUCGGGGGGCAGCAGUGAGGAAUAUUGGUCAAUGGGCGGGAGCCUGAACCAGCCAAGUCGCGUGAGGGAUGACGGCCCUACGGGUUGUAAACCUCUUUUGUCGGGGAGCAAGACCCGCCACGAGUGGCGGAGCGAGAGUACCCGAAGAAAAAGCAUCGGCUAACUCCGUGCCAGCAGCCGCGGUAAUACGGAGGAUGCGAGCGUUAUCCGGAUUUAUUGGGUUUAAAGGGUGCGCAGGCGGACCAUCAAGUCAGCGGUAAAAUCGUGGGGCCCAACCCCAUCCCGCCGUUGAAACUGGCGGUCU